UGGGGAAUUUUGGACAAUGGGCGAAAGCCUGAUCCAGCAAUGCCGCGUGUGUGAAGAAGGCCUUCGGUUGUAAAGCACUUUUGUCCGGAAAGAAAUCCUUGGCUCUAAUACAGUCGGGGGAUGACGGUACCGGAAGAAUAAGCACCGGCUAACUACGUGCCAGCAGCCGCGGUAAUACGUAGGGUGCAAGCGUUAAUCGGAAUUACUGGGCGUAAAGCGUGCGCAGGCGGUUUGCUAAGACCGAUGUGAAAAUCCCCGGGCUCAACCUGGGAACUGCAUUGGUGACUGGCAGGCUAGAGUAUGGCAGAGGGGGGUAGAAAUUCCACGUGUAGCAGUGAAAUGCGUAGAGAUGUGGAGGAAUACCGAUGGCGAAGGCAGCCCCCUGGGCCAAUACUGACGCUCAUGCACGAAAGCGUGGGGAGCAAACAGGAUUAGAUACCCUGGUAGUCCACG
rnacentral:rRNA from 1 species